UUCUAUCCAGCUGAGAUCCGUUUGGAAGCGCGAGAUCCGAUUUCGGAUCUCUGCUUUUUUUCUGUGUAUAUAGCUAGAUAUGAUGUCACUGAGUCUAAUACACUCAUUUCCAAAAAUUUUUGUCGGAUCUCACUCCGGAAGUAAUUUAUCAUUUUUUAUACAGACUUAGUUCUUCAAAUCGCUGUUAGGCGUCUCCAAGAUCGCUGUUUGUAUAUAGAUUUCAAUUUGUACAGAAUCACUACGUUGAAUCCGGCAACAUCUCAUUCUUGAUCCCAUUGAAGGUAUUUAUCAGCGCGCUGCGAUAAGUCGAGUUAUUUAUAGAUAAGAGAUUCCUUAUCUUGCGGAUAUGCGAAUGAAAAUAUUUUCGUACCUAAGAUCUGUGAUGAACAUUUCAGUGCGAAUAUGAUGUUAUGAUUAUUCAUGAUAAUCUAUAAAUUCUUUUUUGCUUUGGGAAUUAUAUGGAUGAAUGAAAAAUUAUAGAACUCACUGCAAAAUCGAAUUGUGCUGUAUGUAGGUACCUUUAUUUUCCAUCCAAAGACUGCCAUUCUCCAUGACAAUUUAGAGAAAGAAACAGAAAAAUUAUUGGAAUUUUAUGUUCGAUUUCGAUCCCUUAUGAUGAAUGAUAUCUGAUAUUACUAAGUAGACUUGUUUCCAAAAGUUGAAAAAUAAGAUGAAUCUCAUUUUUUUGCGCCUGUACCAAGGGCUAUACUCGAUAAUUUGUCCGAAUAUUCGUGCUUUUCUACUAUCAAGCUGAUAAUAGAUUCAGAUUAUUGGGUUCGUCCCACCGAUGAAGAAUAAUAGGUCAAAAUCACAUAUGGCCGUCCAACCAUCUGUGUGUGUAUACACUAUAACUCUCUAACAGAAUGACGUAGAAACUUUUGAAAAUAAGAAGUCGGUUAGGUUCAAUAUUGGACUACAUGGUUUAGGAGUUGAAGAUAUCUGAAAUUUGGUUUCCUCAAGAAAACAGAAUAUAAUUAACCUAUGAUAUAGAAAAACAAGUUUCAUCGGAACAUAACAAAGCUCAAUUUUGAAUUCAGUGGAAAUUGUACCAUUGAAUAAUAUUAAAAAAAACUUCUAUUUUUCUUCAAAGAACAUAUCUGAGAGAAUAUCUGUUGUCGUCGAUAAAAUUUUUUGUUCAUAUAGGUAUAGGUCGUUGAUGGAAUAAGUUCUAUAGAAUUUCUGUUGGUAAAAAUAUUUGUGAGGUUUGAGGUGUCUCUAAAAAUUUUUUUUUCUGGUUUCACCGAAAUUUUGCACAAACUUUCAUUGCCACUAUUUACAACUAAUUUCCGAGUUUGAAUUCUUUCGGAUUUGUUCGAAUUAUUGAAUACAGUAUUUCAGAUGGCCUAAACUGUAGAUUUUGUCAACCAACUACCUCAAUCAAGAUUUUUGCAACCUCUAUAACCAUGAAGAUCUCAAGUCUUCAGCUCAUUAUUUUCAACAAUUAUCGUUUACAUGGACGGCUGGCGGAUGGAUAGAAUAUUAUUUGCCAUAAUAAUUUUCAAUUCAUAAUAUCCUAAAUAAAUUAUGUACUUCACGUCAUUUCUAAAAUAUAAAAAAAUUACAUCAAAUUGGAAUCAAUCAAAACAAUUAUGUAGGUCACGAUCCUACUAAAAAGUCCACAGUUCAUUUCGAAUUCUGAAGCUGCUCAACAAUUAAUAUCGAGUCUUCAAGUCAACUUGUUUUAUGCAGAACAAACUCAUGAAAGGGUUGAAUCCAUUCUCUGAUUCCUUUGAUAUAUGGGUACCUACUUUGAAAUGUUAUUUUCCCAAUGUUUUCUAACCUACAAAGUUGAUUUAAUUGAAAUCUGGUACUUCAUUCUAAAACUGUCGAAUAUAGUUAUCGAAACAUCGACUUUUAGUUUUAGUAAUGAUGCAAUGAUAUACUGGCUGUGCAAUUGGAAAUAAGGAAGUAGUAGUCUGUUUCCUGUAUAACCGGAAGUUGUAGAGGUUUAUUUCAGAGGGAGAGAUCAUUGUCUCAAACCCCAAUAUGCCAAUUAUCAGCACAAAAUCAUGAUUAGUUUUCCAUGAAUAGUGAAUCACCCGGUAAAUAAAUAGUCCUUUUUUGUGUACACACACUUCGUGACUUCGUCAGGUAACAGGCAAUUUUCAUAGAGAGAAAAAUAUUUGUGGAAAUUACUUUAUUUUAUUUAUAAUGAACGUUAAGACCAAAUUCAUUCGAAAUUAAAUUUGAUGAUUCGUCCAAAAUAAAAAUGACAGUAAGAAUCUCAACAGCGUAUUUUUACAAAUGAUAAAUUAAUAUGUGAUUAUUAUAUGACUUCUAGUAAUGAUAACCAUAAUCAAAUUGAAACAUAUUCAACUGUGGUUCUGUUCAUCGGAUCAUGAAGAAUAUGUUUUUUUCUUCAGAAAUAGAAUGCUUUAUUUGAUUAUAAAGCUUCGUAAUAGUUUGAGAAGGUGAGUAUUAUACAACUAUUCGCCAAAAUAUAUAAAUGUUGAAUAUUUAUCAAUUCUCGAAAAAUGUUUGGAUUCAAUAACUUUACAUAUUGUGAGAAUUCGAAGAGAAAAGAGAUCCAUGUUAUUUCAGUCCAUUUUCGCCUGAACCAUUAUUCAGACAUCUUAUAUAGUGAGACGAGAGGGGUGAACAACGGACCAUAUAAAUUUGCAUAAUGCAGGAAUCUUUUCGCAGAAGUAGUUUGUGUUGUUGAGCCAUCAAGACAAAAAUAUGAUCAGAGCAGUUAUUAUCAUUGUGGCAAACUUUUUUUUUUGUCCGGUUGUUGAUAUGGUUAAUCUGCUACCAUGUACAGAAAAUAUCACACCCCAAGCUGAAGAAGAAGCAUGCAGGAUAAUAAAAGAUGCCACUCCUCCAGGAUUCACAAAUAUAGGAGUCCGACCCGAAGUGAGACUCGGAAGAAAUCCUCAUAGAUGGAUUGGAAUUUUUAAUAACAAUGCUGGAACUUACGAAACUGGAUGCCAAGCAAUGUACCAUGUGAAACAACAAUUUAGGAGAUUGGUUCCUCAAGGAUCAGAUCUAUCUUCAAUCAGAAUUAUACCCAGCACAUCAGGGACAACAAUUGAAGUCGAAUAUUUAGUGAAUUGCUUCUGUACUAAGGUUCCUCGAAGAAGACGAAAUAUUUUUGCACAAUGCCAAAUUCGAGGCUACACAACAGAAUCUGGUAUAUGUAAAAAAUGAGUAAUUUCGAAGUUCUUUGUAAUAAUGUGGAAUGAUCUGAUUUUUUUUAACAACGAAAUGAAAGUAGGUAAAAUAAUAUUUUUUGUAAUUUGAAAGACCUGAAUGUAGCUCCCAUUUCAUAAUGGAAAGUAUUGACGAAAAGUUUCUUAUCAAGACUGUAAUUUAUUAUUAUUUCUAAUGGAUAUUUUCGAGGGUACUGUGUAGUUACUCCUUGUUUUAGAAGUUUAGUUUUUGCCAAAUGUUAUUAAUUUGUUAUGAUCAUAUUUUUGUCGUUGUAAUAUACAUUUAACUAAGGAAUAAAUGAGUGUUUAAUA